UUAAUAAUGUACAAGUGACAGCCAUCAGGGGAGUGGGUUUCAGCAGAUACCAGGAAAUUUGAAACUUUGAAGAACUGGCCUGAGUUUGAUCGGCUUGGCUGUGCUGAGGGGGUGGCAGGGAGGAGGGCAUCACGUGGCUGUGUGCAGAUUUCAGUGCAAGGACUAACCCAGCCCCAGAGAAUGUCAAGUGCUUCUUGUCUUUGGUAUCUGAGCAGCUGAUUCUGAUCUGCAAUUAACAGCUGAGAAAGAGAGCACGGCACUGCUUCACUGGUAGUUAUCUUCUGUGGAUGAUCUAUUCUGGGAAUUGAAGCCCAAACCCAAAUGCUACAGAACAGAGCCACUUUGGCUUCAGAGGUCUUUGAAUAGGAGAUGGACAUUUUCUGGAUGCCUUUCACAGCCCAGCAUCUUUCCCUAAACUCCUAAUGCUCUUACAAGAUCAGAAAAAGCCAGCAUUUGGCCAACAGGGAAAGGAUUUACAAGAAAACAGGAGUAGGAAGUAGAAAGAGCAGCCAGGACUCUCGCACAAGCAGAAAUACAGAUAGCAAUGCAGUUACUUACACUGGCAUCGUGGAGAUAGAGAAAUCCAAACUAACAAUGAACACUGAGAGCCUGAACUUCUGUAAGUGUGGUAGAGCAAGCCUGUAA
rnacentral:lncRNA from 1 species